rnacentral:rRNA from 1 species
GUAAAGGGUGCGUAGGUGGUUUAGAAAGUUAACUGUGAAAUACCCAGGCUUAACCUGGGGGGGUCAGUUAAAACUACUAGACUUGAGUAUGGGAGAGGGCAGUGGAAUUUCCGGUGUAGCGGUGAAAUGCGUAGAUAUCGGAAGGAACACCAGUGGCGAAGGCGACUGCCUGGCCUAAUACUGACACUGAGGCACGAAAGCGUGGGGAGCAAACAGGAUUAGAUACCCUGGUAGUCCACGCUGUAAACGAUGUCAACUAGCUGUUGGACUC